rnacentral:rRNA from 1 species
GACGAACGCUGGCGGCGUGCUUAACACAUGCAAGUCGAACGGUAAGGCCCUUCGGGGUACACGAGUGGCGAACGGGUGAGUAACACGUGGGUGAUCUGCCCUGCACUUCGGGAUAAGCCUGGGAAACUGGGUCUAAUACCGGAUAGGACCACUGCCUGCAUGGGUGGUGGUGGGAAGCUUUUGCGGUGUGGGAUGGGCCCGCGGCCUAUCAGCUUGUUGGUGGGGUGAUGGCCUACCAAGGCGAGGACGGGUAGCCGGCCGGAGAGGGUGACCGGCCACACUGGGAUGGAGAUACGGCCCAGAUUCCUACGGGAGGCAGCAGUGGUGAAUAGUGCACAAUGGGCGCAAGCCUGAUGCAGCGACGCCGCGUGAGGGAUGACGGUCUUCGGGUUGUAAACCUCUUUCAGCACCGACGAAGCGCAAGUGACGGUAGGUGCAGAAGAAGGACCGGCCAACUACGUGCCAGCAGCCGCGGUAA